GUCCUCCCGGGCCUCGCCGCCCGCGAGCCCCCGCCGUCCGCGCGCGGCCGGGGAGAGGCGCGGGGCCGACAGCCGAGCCCGGCCGGGAGCGGGACCCCCGGGGGGAUCCGCGCAGCUCGGGGGGGCCCCCUCGGCUCGCGUCCCCCGCCCCCCCCCCCCCCUCCCCCGCCCCACUGGAAAUACCUGUCUGCACCCGCGAGCUCCCCGGUCCCGGCCCGGCGCCUCUCGCAGGGUGCCGAGGGGACCGUGCGCCCGGGCCCGGCCUGCCGAGUCGCCCCCUCCCCGCUGCAGCUGCCAGCGCCUGCGACCCGGCGACACAGGCCCGGGGCGGGAGGGCAGGACGAGAGGCAUCCCGGGGCGGGGCCCUGCAGGGUGCCGGGCCCUGGACCGCGGGCUUCGUAGCGCUCGGGUCACCCGCGCAGAGACCCCGCGAGGCGGGCGUGACUCUGCUUGACUCGGGAGAAAACGGAGGCGCAACCAGGUGGAGCGACUGGCCCCAGACUUCCCACCUCGGGGACGGAUGUCCUGCCGAGCCCCGAGCGGAACUCACACCCAACCUGGACGUCAUCAAACCCACCUCCUUAGAGACCUCAGGCCGACAGAUGGCUGGCAUUUCUGCUCCUGGGAGCUUUCUGCUUGGUAUCUUCUGGGCUUUUUGGCAAGAACAGGAACCUAGCCCUGUAACUGGCUCCUUCACCAGGCCAGAAGUGAAACUCUGAGUCCCUGAGGCUCAAAAGUAAGAUUUUCUUCUGGGUUGCCCACCAUCCAUGCUUCCUACUCUCUGGGAAAGUUUGUUCAACCAACUAGGAUUUUACCUAAUCCGGGUAUCAGCCAGCCCACGUAUUUUCAGCCUGUUCACAAGAUCAGACAAUGUUGUCAGUUCCAGGGACACUUGACCACUGUGAGCAGUGGCCCGUUUACCGGGGCAGAAAAGCAGUGUGGCUUCUCAGGGCGCCUGGGAGGCUCGGUCGGUUAAGGGUCCGACUCUCGAUUUCAUCUCAGGCCACGAUCUCAUGGUCUGUGAGAUCUAAGCCCCAGGUCGGGUUCUGCACUGGCAUCAGGGAGCCUGCAUGGGAUUCUGUCUCUCCCCCUCUCUCUGCCCUUCCCCUCCUCGCACGUGCGUGCUCUCUCUCUCUCUCUCUCUCUCAAAAAUAAAUAA